CAGCCGCCGCGGGAAUACGAAGGGUGCAAGCGUUAAUCGGAAUUACUGGGCGUAAAGCGUGCGUAGGCGGUGAGUUAAGUCUGCUGUGAAAUCCCCGGGCUCAACCUGGGAAUGGCAGUGGAUACUGGCUUGCUAGAGUGUGUCAGAGGAUAGUGGAAUUUCCGGUGUAGCAGUGAAAUGCGUAGAGAUCGGAAGGAACAUCUGUGGCGAAGGCGACUAUCUGGGCCAACACUGACACUGAGGCACGAAAGCGUGGGGAGCAAACAGGAUUAGAUACCCCAGUAGUCCCUGUCUCUUAUAC
rnacentral:rRNA from 1 species